rnacentral:rRNA from 1 species
UACGGAAGGCAGCAGUGGGGAAUAUUGCACAAUGGGCGCAAGCCUGAUGCAGCCAUACCGCGUGUAUGAAGAAGGCCUUCGGGUUGUAAAGUACUUUCAGUCGUGAGGAAGGUGUUAAGGUUAAUAACCUUAGCAAUUGACGUUAGCGACAGAAGAAGCACCGGCUAACUCCGUGCCAGCAGCCGCGGUAAUACGGAGGGUGCGAGCGUUAAUCGGAAUUACUGGGCGUAAAGGGCACGCAGGCGGUUAAUUAAGUUGGAUGUGAAAUCCCCGGGCUUAACCUGGGAAUGGCAUUCAAGACUGGUUAGCUAGAGUCUUGUAGAGGGGGGUAGAAUUCCAUGUGUAGCGGUGAAAUGCGUAGAGAUGUGGAGGAAUACCGGUGGCGAAGGCGGCCCCUGGACAAAGACUGACGCUCAUGUGCGAAAGCGUGGGGAGCAAACAGGGAUUAGAUACC